AUUUUUUCUGUGUUGGUGUAAUGUACUCAGGUGAAUAUGAUGCUUGUGAUGUUACUCUGAGUGUACACUCAGAGUAACAUCACAAGCAUCAUAUUCACCUGAGUACAUUACACCAACACAGAAAAAAUAAAGUGGAAUU